GCGGAACAGACUAUUGAUACUGAUAGCAGUGACACACAUAUUAAUUUGAACAGAACAAACUCCCAACUACCCAGUUCACAAAACAAUAUAUUUGCAAUGUCAAAGAAUGGUACAAUGUUAUUGUUGGAUGCUCAGUCAUAUUUCAGUCCUAACACACUAAUUCCUGCAUAAUGCUUGUGUAACGAUAACUGGUACCAAGAUUAAUGUUGGUUUCUGCUUUAUUUUUCCUGUCAUGUAUUUCCUUUUUGUGUGUUAUUAUAAUGAAUGGAUCGGAGGAUGCAUGCAUGGAUCGAGCAACGGGGUGUCCAAAUCGCGCGCCUGUGAGCGGCUCACGGGAUGCGCAUCGCCGGCGAGGCUUUGUGCCAUGACAGAGCUCCAGGGCCUAACAUCAUCUCUCCUGCCGCAGGACGAGGGUGAGGUGGUGUCAAACGCGGUGGCAGAUCUGUGCUCACAGUUUGUCGUCAUGCUCAUUCUCAGAGGCGUCAAACCUGUUAUAUCAGACGACAUAGAAGGGAAGUGUACCAAAGAAGGACACGCUGGAUAAUGUCUCACUACAAGAAUACCGAAACUUCCUGUAUACAAAUGCUGACACUCUCAGUUGUACCGUGUACCUUAGGAUUUAUUUAAGAAACAAGAAAUCUAAAAGUUUCUUGUGUUGGGAGAGGACUGAUGGGCUACAUUGGGGAUAAGGGCAAGUUUUACUUGAUAAUGUGGACGUCAAGACACUGCAAUUGAAGCAACUUAGAGACCAGAUCAGCUUGAUGAAUCAGGAACUUGCUCUUUUUGCAUCUACAAUUCUUGAGAAUAUUCUUGAUGGCAAACCUGAUGCCACAAUAUCACUCAAAGAGAAAAUGUAAGUGCAACA